UACCAGCUGCGCAUGCUCGGCAAUUGGGCUGCUCAGACCUCAUCUGCGCAUGUGCGGCGACUGGACCGCGCAUGCUCCCAUAGUCAGCUGGAUGUCGGGCCUCGCAGAUCGCCAUAGUCAACUUAGGAAGCUUGCCGGCCAGUAGAUGUGUUGUUUUGUUGGGACAGAAUACUUACAACAUUGCCAUAUAAUUAACACCAUUUUGUUCCUCCAAAUUCCUUGCUUCCAAAUCAGAAGAACAUUUUUCCUCAGUCUUGCAUGCAAUCUGGCCACACUGGAACUAGCACACCCAGAAAGAACUUUUGGAUGAUUUCUUUGCAUUCCUGAUUGGCAGAUCUGAUAAAUCCAUAUGAUUAUGAGACUCAAGGAGCUUAAAGGAAAAUAUUGGAACUGUAAAAACUUGAUUAUGACUGGCAACUGCAGAACACUGCUGGCUCAUAUUUAAGUGAUUGUCCACUAGGACUCCGAGAUCCCUCUCACAGUUACUACUAUUGAGCAAGAUUCAGAAGAGUAACUGGAUGUCCCAUGCAAAUUGAUGAGUCCGUUUUAACGGAGUUGCAAGCAGAUCCAAGGAGAGGAUUCAGAUGUACAGCUGAAUGAAACUGCUGGUGUGGUUCCAGUGUAGGUAUCU